AUGGAUAGGCAAAGCACAUCUACUUCGGUCUACAACAACAACGACGAGCUCAAUGCCACAAAGAACAAUUUGGACACCAAGAUGGAUGCUCAAAUGGAGGAGCUCAAGGUCCUCAUCAACAACCGCAAUAGGUCUUCCUCAUGUUCAAGAAGAUGCUCAAGUGCACAUCGUUCCAAGCUACCAUCUCCGGCAAGAUCACAUCGGCAUAGACACCAUCACCGGCAAGAACGUGAAUGUCAAGAGAUCAACACCAACCACCGCUCUAUGACUUCACCAUCUACCUUGGCAUCUUCGCCAAGCGACUUCAAGGCAUCUUCGCUUUGGUCUUGUGGCAUCUUCGCUGACCCGUACCUCAAGAGAAGCUCCCCAAGCUCAAGUCCGUGA
rnacentral:rRNA from 1 species